CAGGAACAAACAUCAUCGAUUUCCAGUGGUAUAAGAAACACGCUAAUAAGUUUUAGGAUUCAACACCUAAGGCACAUGAACUGGGUUAGGGUUGGGUUGUUUCUAUUUUUUUUUUCCCUUACUAAUGGUGAAUUGGUUGGCUACGGGGUCCUGUGGUUUUUGUCCGUUUUGAUUUUCGACAGGAAGAAGGAAAAAAGAAAAGAAAAAGGGAAUCCUUUUGUGUGUCUAAUUGAUUAUUAUAUUGAUUGCAGAAUUGAUUGGCAUAAAGCAAAUUCGUACUGGUUUAAUUGAAUAAAAUGAACAAUUCAUAAUCUCUGUCAUGUUAUGUUAUCAAUCCUAAGCAAAUUCUUUUCCAUUUUGAGGGCUAAAUCUCCUCUAGACCUUAUUCAAGUGCCAAACAACAUUUUAAGUGUGAAGCAUUAGCACUUUAUCUGAAUCACUUGAUCUUUAGCAUUGUCAAAUUAAUUUUUUAUUUGAAAUGUUACUGCAAUAGUCGUUUGACCAUAAGAUGUGAAAUAAAACCCUGUUUAUAGAUGAGGGCUUAUUAGGGUUAUAUUUUAAGCCUGGCUAAGAAAGAUUUAUACAAGUCAACUAAAAUUUGGGAUAUACGUAGAUCAUGGGAUAUACGUAGAUUUUGUUCCCUAGGAAUGGCACUGUAUAGUUACCAAAAAGCAUGACAUUUUGCAUUUCAACUGGAGGAAACUUUCACCAGAGUAAAUGUUCCCAUAGAGUGGCUGCGAUGAUUUUUUCCACGGCAAAGCAUGGCUGGUAUUAAGGGCGAUACAUGUUAGAUUAGCACAAUAAAGCAAUCUGCAAGGACCCAACUGAUUCAAAGGAAGUUCCACCGCUCGAUGUACCAGAACUUUUGGCAUUUUUAGUUAGGCAAUUUGGGCCAUUCUUGGAUCAAAUUGGUGUUAGAAGAGGUAAGCAAUUCUCUUGAGUUUUGAUUUUGAUUUUAUAAUGAAGUGAUCAAUAAUAUUUUGAACUUUAUAUUGAUAAAAUAAAGGUGUAUAUAUAUAUAUAUAUUUAUAUAUAGAAAUACACAUAGUUUAGUUCCUAUUAAUGGGGUUCUAGGCACAGAGCUGACCUUUAAUCAUUAUGUACAAAGUAGCUGCCUUGUAUUCACACUCACUACUUCAAGGUUAUUAGGCCUGAAUUUAAAACCACUAAACCAAUCGUCCCCUUUAAAGUACACCCACUUCAGUCCCAAUUAAUGGAAUAUGUAUAUAUGUUUGUCACGAUAAUUUGUAUUGAGGAUGAUUGAUGUAGUUUCAUAUAUGUCAUGUGACAAAAUCUUUGCUUCACAACUUUAGAUGGUCCUUUAGAUAAGCUUUACUACACCAAUUGAAACUAGUUUGCAAUUCUUAGGCAGAAGUAAAAUUCAGGACUGCAGCCUUAUGUAAUACAGAUGCCUUACAAUUGAAGUUAUCAGAAAUGUGCUACAAAUUUAAACACCAGAACUACAUUACAAAAUGGUUUUUUUCUUUAUCAAUGUAUGAUUGUCUGCUUUUUGCUAUAUUCUAGAACUAUCUGAUGCUUUAAGAAAAUUAACGAUGUGGAUUUGGUAUAUAGAAAGGUUCAGGGGAAUAACUGACCUGUUGGUUCCCCUUAUUUAGAUGGUUGGGUUAUGUGAGUUCACAGGUAUUAGAUAAGCAGGCAACAAGUAUCAAAACUUGAAAUUUUUUAUCUAGAACUGUCUUUGAGGGUCCGUUUGGGGUUGCUAGACCUAUUUGAAGGUGCUUAUUUAGGUACGCUGACAAAAUUAGCUGGGAAUGUGUUAGGCAAAGGUUGUUUAAAAAGUGCUACAAUUGGGUCACAUAUAGAAUUAUAACUUUUGUCAGGGGCCAAGUUUUAAAGUUAAUAUACAACAAUGCAAGUAUUUUUUUUUUAUUUUUUUUUGUUGAUAAAUUCUUUUUUUGUUGUUGAUAAAUUCAAUGCAAGUAUUAGUGGGCCCAAAACAACCAAUAAGCUAAGAGGCAUGAUUGGAUGUUUUUUUGAAAAAAGCUAACUUUUUGUUUAAUUUGAGGUAGAUCCACUUUAACCAAAUGCCACAAAUGGAGUUGUCUUGGUUCUAGUGUGGUUUGACUUGGAAAAUUUUAAAUUGUUCCAAUUGACAAUAUGGAAGCAACGUGUCAUUUAGAGGUCUGAAGGGCUGUUCUUAUAUUAAGUAUUCCACAUGCUAUUUGUAAUAUUUGGUUUAUUUUCAAGGAAUAGUUCCAUGGUUUAUAGCAUAUAAUCUCUAUUACUUAAUUAUUGACAAAAAUGUUAGGACAACUAACAAGCAAACCAACCAGACAAAAUAUUUGGUGAAUCCCAUACCAAGUGGUGGGACCUAUGUACAAGCGCUUUGUUGGUAUUUUUUUUUUAAGUGUUUCUAGCAUUUUUGUAUUAUUGAUAGUUCAGAUGUUUCUUAUACUCCAAUGUACUGAACUCAGACUAAUCAUGGUUACUUGGGUUGAGGUUGGCAACAUGGUUCCUCUUGCGUAUGGUUGUUCUUAGAGUACACACACAUACUUACAUAUAUAUAUAUAUACAUAUAUAUUUUUUUCAAUUUUAGAAUAACUAUAUCCUUUCUCAUGGUCUCAAUUCUCAUUUUUUUUUUGUGUUUUUCUUCUGUCUUUGAGGCACCUAUAACUUAGUUUCUGUUAUUCCUUCUUGACAAUAUUUUAUGCCUUCGUUGCUACUCUUAAACCAUCCUGUGCUCCUUCACCUCAUAUUGUCUAUGCUUCAUGUUACUCGUAGCUCUAGAGAAAUGUAGCACCUCAUAUUGUCUAUGCUUCGUGCUACUUGUAGCUUUAGAGAAAUGUAGUCAUUUCUUAUUGUUGUGCCCCCCUCCUGUCUGUGUCUGUGUCUAUAUCCUCAUUUUUACAUUUGCUUUUUAUUGUCAUUCAACAUUUUGUACGGUAUAGCAUAUGCCAUGCAGCAGUCUUAUGGAGAUUUUUCAUAAAUUCCUAUCCAAUUACAUGACUGCUUCAGAAGCACUUCUCCUUAUCAUCCACUUGUUAUAGCUUUAGGACCAUAAUGAGUUGGAGUUGGCACAGAGCCUGCUUGUUUAGCCUGGAACUGGGGUUAAGCGUUAAAUAAUUUAGGGUUGAGGCAAGAUACGUGUGCUUGGCUUAAUUAGAUUUGGUUCAAAUUAGAAAGUUAUAAUUGGUUCAAUAAGGUGUGUUGGUGAUGUACAAGAAAGCACUUAAUUAAUCUGAACAUUAUGGAUUAGUUCUCUCUCUCUCUCUCUCUCCCUCUCUCCCUCCCUCCACCAGACAAAGUGAAUCAAAAGCAUAGCAAGCAAACCAAAUUGUAUGUGUGUUUUUGACAGCCUCCAAAAUAUCCGUCCAUCAUCAAGGUGAACUACCAUUAUAUCACCAUCCUAUUAUCUCCAAUUAAGCCACCAUUAAUAACAUAAUCAACGAUAGGUCACUACUCACAUUCAUGUCUCUAUUCUUUGCUACCUACACUGAUAGAGGGCUCUUCCUUCUUUAUACUAAAUAGGUAUGUAUGUAUCUCUCUACUUGCGUAUAUUGAUACAGGGCUCGUGCUUAAGUGUUAGAAAAUUGUGUUUUCCGACCUAGUUUUUAAAUCGGGAGUCCCCGUGCCUGUUCGUUAAGUUUUCACAACUCAAAUUGGUCCCUCCUGAGAUGUUCGGGGUGUUCCCCAGGCCUUCUCGUGAUUGUUACACGAUUCCGGCCUAUCUACACGAUUCCGGCCUACCUACACGAUACCUGUUUUCAAGCUUCAGUGUGAAAAAAGUACCUUUUCCGACCUAGUUUUCACACCGGAAGUCCCGCGCUAGAUCCGUAAGUUACCACAACUUACAUUGGUUUCUCCCGAGGUGUUGGAGGUGUUCCACGGGCCUUCU